rnacentral:rRNA from 1 species
GGAUGCGAUCAUACCAGCACUAAAGCACCGGAUCCCAUCAGAACUCCGAAGUUAAGCGUGCUUCGGCGAGAGUAGUACUAGGAUGGGUGACCUCCUGGGAUGUCCUCGUGUUGCAUUCC